CCCUUAUUAGAUUGUUGCUAAAAUUUGUGUUAUUUUAUAUUUAUACUCUUGAUUUUGCUUAAUUUCACCUCCAAUUUCAUUCCUUUUUAUCCGCGUUGUCCUACAAUUCGAUUGAUAACCAAUGUUAUGUGAUUUGACAUUGAAAUGGCCUAUUUCAGGAAAUUAUAAUUGAUAUUAGGUUACUGUAUUUGGUUUGUUUUGCUUAUGAAUUUUGGGUGAUUGUUCAGAAAUCAGUGAAUAUUGUCAAAUCAGUAUCCCUGAUUGAUGAUUAUUAGAUAUACAUGUUGCAUGCCUUAGUUAUGGUAGUGAUGAUCUUUAAUUUGGAUUUGAUUGUUGAGAGUGGGGAUAUAGAAAGAGAUUAUGUUCAUCAAGUGUGACAUUAAAUUUGAGGUGGAAACUAGGUGGCUCAGGUUUUUUCUUUUUUUUCGUUGUUUGAUGUCAUUUAAUGGCUGGAUGAGUAUAAUGCAUUGUUUGAUAUGAUUUAGGGAUGGCGAAGAAGUAGAAGUGUGUAUGUUUCCGUAGUUUUUUUGUGGUUGAUGGGUGCUUGUCAUAUAGUUGCCAUAGGGCAAGUCAAGCUACAAAUCUUUGGAUAUUGAGACAAAAGGUGGUAGCGAAUCUUGGGAGAAAUGGUUCUCAUUAAGUCUAUCAAAUUUAGUGUUACUUAAUUUGCUAAUCAAUUAUUUUACUUGCGUCCUGUUGCUUUCUUUACGAUUGGGAAGUGCUUAAUACUCCCGCCGUCCCUUAUUUUUUUGCCCCAUUGGGGUGAUGUUACUUGUUUAAUUUUUAGUUUGAAAAAGUUGAUUAGAGGGAAAUAUGGUAGAGCCAAAUGUAGUUGGUGUGAGAGUAAAGUAGAUGUCUCAUAUAACCAUUUAUGAUGUGGAUCAAACUAAAAAGGAAAUUGGGGCAAACAUUUAGGGAUAGAGGGAGUACAAAAUAUAGGUCUAUAAUUAGUGUAAUAUCUCAAGAAAAUUUUACGCACAUCCAUAGGAUGAAUAUAGCCUUAAGUUCAGAUUCAUACUCUCAUCUUAUCUUUUCGAGCAAUGCAAGUUUGGUAUUAAUGAAGAUUAUGGUGUGAACCGGACUAAAAGAGAGAUAUUGUACUAUUUGCAUUUUGUGCCACAUCUAACAAUCUCACAAUGUUCCCCUUUUUUUUUUUUUCUUCUCUCUCUCUCUUUAUCCUGGCAUUUUAUUGCUUGUUUGUCAUGCAAAAUACUUGUCUUCCUUUAGAUUAUAGUUUCUUCACUCUUUAGCAGAUUGUUUGUUUUGGAUUGUUCCUGUGCUCUAUAUGGAUUAUAUUAUAUGCUUUUUUAUCCUAGCAAAUGGCAAUCCACUUAAAAACUAUAUGUUUUUUUUUUUUUUUUUGCUUAGGUUAUCUAAUAUUCCAGCGCACGUUUCCUUUGCAAGUAUAUCUAAUUGUUAUGCUGCGAACAUAUACUAUUGUUGUGAUGUUUUUGUUGCUUGAUGUCAGUGGUAAGACUUUGUUACUGCUUAAGACUCGUAAUAGAAAGAACUACAUAGUAUAUGGCAUUCAAUAAUUUCAAGUUCAUUAUGAAUUUGAUGGUUGAAUUAGCUAUCAUUAUCAACCCGUUUGGCAAGCUCACGUAAUUUGCUUUUGAGUUUUAACACCUAAUCAAAGAGGGCAAGCAGUAUAUUUUGAAUGAAUAGUUAUACUAUGAGGAUUCUUUAGUAAAGGAAUUGCUUUAAAAUUUGAAGGUCAGUUUUAUUUCAAAUCAACAAGUGUAAUUUAUUUGUGGAAUGCACUGUUUGUUGUGAAACCAAAUUGAGGACAAUAAAAAAAAGUAUGAUGGGACUAAAAAAGCUCAAGACUAUCAAGCAGUUCUAUGAUAUGGAUUACUGAAAGUCUCUUGUCAAGAAAGGAAGCAUCCACUGUAUCAUAAUGUACAUAAGAAAAUUGCAACUGACAAGAAGUAUUAGUAGAUCAGUGGAAGUCGUGAAACAUUCUUGUUGAGGUCACAAAGAAGCUUAUCUAAUGCCAUUCGGUAGCACCAUCCCAUGUCUUAGCAGAACCAUCUAGUGCUGCCAAAGCAGUCUGUAAUGUGCCCUGGGUCAGCUAGAUAGUCCACAAUAGAAGCCAGCUAAAUGCUCUGCAUAAUCAUAAAGUAUGGACUUUGGAAGUGGUGAUUAAAUAUAUACUUGUGGUGCUCUGCAACCCGAAAGAUCCUGUUCAUAUUCCAUAGGUUACUUCUAUCUGUAAGAGAACAUUUUUCUUUGAGCUUUUUAGAUUUUUUUUGUCUUUAAAUAUCGGUAGAGCCUGAAUGCAUUAAUCCUAUUUUUGACAUUUUACAUAAAAUGAUUCAUGGAGUUGAGCCCCUGCCACCCAAACCUGCAAGGGCUGCUAUUGAGAUAAAAUUGGAAAACGGGGAAAUGCUGGACGCACAAAGAGUAUUAUCUGUUGUAAUUUUGUUGACGAACAAAUAACAGAAAUACCGUUGAUGAUUCCGGGAAGUGGUGAUCUUGUUAUUAUGUCUUCUGUGAUUAAUGGGUGCUUAGCACUAUAUCGCUAUAAGAUUGAUCAGCCUCGCGAGGUUUGGAUAUUGAAGCAAAAGAGUGAUGGUAACUUCCUUGAGAAAUUGUUCUCAGUCCCUUGCAGUAGUGUACUAUACCCCUUGUGGAUGAAUUUCUCCCCAAGUGGCAAGUGUUUGGUUAAACAUGCACAACAGCUCAAGUUGGUUGACCCGGCUGUAGAAGAUAUUGAACCUUUCCAUGUAUCGAUUUUGAUCGGUCCGUGUUUGCAGUACACCAGCAUGUUGAAAGUCUCAUCUCACCCUUUGGGACUGCACACAACUCUUAAUGAUGAAGACAAUGAUGCUAACAUCACAACUUAAAAUAAUCAAACAUGUGAACAGCUUGCCAAAUUGUAAGAUAUUGAAAUUCCUGAACUUACUCUGCAACUUGACAAUUCUGAGAGGCGGUGAGUAAGAUCAAUGGUGGCGGCUGAUUAUCACCUGUAUGCUGUAGCUUCUCUCUCCGUGCUUGGCCAUGUCUGGGCCCUGAACUUCCGAUGCCAGAUGGUGGUACUGGGGUUAAAGAUGGUGAACCUUGAACCGUUUUUUUUUUUGACGCAGAAACUUUGAACUUUAGUUUGGCGAAGUUUGUUUUCAUUCCCUUGUUGAACCAAAUAUAAAACUUACAGAAUUCAAAGCUCAAUUCUCAUUACUUCCCUUUCUUCUUUGUUGAUUAA